CAACAUACAUGUUAAAAUUUCUCCCACAGGUUACAAAUCUGUCUUCAAGAAGCUACCCCAUACGGAGUCUUUACUGUUUUAGGUACAAAGAAGCCCUCUUUUCCAUAUAUCACCUCCACCAGUGCUUUCCAGGGAGCUUUUCCCCAUCGUUUUACCUCCAUAGCCAUUUGCAUAGCAAGCUUUGAUGGUGAGCUCUAAGAUUUCUA
rnacentral:lncRNA from 1 species